UUAGCAACUCCAGCUUGUCUACAAGAUAAGUGCUUAUACAAUUAGUACAACUUCCACCAUCAACUAUAAGCAUGCAUACCUUAUCUUACACUUUGCAUCUUGCAUGGAAUAUGUUGUGCCUUUGGGCUUCUUCUUCUUGAACUUGCAUAUUCAAAGCCCUCAUAGUAACAAGAACUUCAUCACCACUGAAUUCACAUUGAUCACCUUCAUCUUCACAUGAAUUGUCUUCCUUUUCAUCUUCCCCUGCACUUUGACUCACAUAAGAUCCAUUGAUGCAAACAAGGCUAAAAACACUCAAGAUACUCAAAGAGCAUCAGAAGGUGACAUGAAGCAAAUUUCAAAUGAUGAAAACACAAAUACAGUUCCAAACCUGGAAAGUUUCAGCGGACCAGUAACAAGAUCAAAGGCAAAGAAGCUUAAAGAGUUGCUCCAAGUUUUUACUCAAAAACAUGUGGAUGAUGGGCUGGCCAAUUGUGGAAAGUUCAAAUAUGAGUUUUUUGAACAGCCCAAAUUCGUAACUUUAAUUGGAUUUAAGUGAUUUGGGAUAAUUUAGACUUGUUUGAGUCUUAUUGAUAAUG
rnacentral:lncRNA from 1 species